rnacentral:rRNA from 1 species
GCAGGCGCGAAACCUUUACACUGCACGCCAGUGCGAUAAGGGGAUCCCAAGUGCGUAGGCAUARAGCCUACGCUUUUGCCCACCCUAGGGUGGUGGACRAAUAAKGGCUGGGCAAGACCGGUGCCAGCCGCCGSGGURAUACCGGCAGCCCGAGUGAUGGCCGAUCUUAUUGGGCCUAAAGCGUCCGUAGCUGGCCGMACAAGUCCAUCGGGAAAUCCASCUGCUCAACAGGUGGGCGUCCGGUGGAAACUGUGUGGSUUGGGACCGGAAGGCGCGACGGGWACGUCCGGGGUAGGAGWGAAAUCCUGUAAUCCUGGACGGACCGMCRAUGGCGAAAGCACGUCSCGAAGACGGAUCCRACAGUGAGGGACGAAAGCUAGGGUCUCGAACCGGAUUASAUACCCGGGUAGUCCUARCCGUAAACACUGCCUGCUAGGUGUGGCACCCACUACGAGUGGGUGCUGUGCCGUAGGGAAGCCGCUAAGCAGGCCGCCUGGGAAGUACGUCCGCAAGGAUGAAACUUAAAGGAAUUGGCGGGGGAGCACUACAACCGGAGGAGCCUGCGGUUUAAUUGGAUUCAACGCCGG